CGGGAAUAUUGGACAAUGGGCGCAAGCCUGAUCCAGCCACGCCGCGUGAGUGAUGAAGGCCUUCGGGUCGUAAAGCUCUGUGGGGAGGGACGAACCGCUGAUGGUUAAUACCCAGCAGCAUGACGGUACCUCCUUAGCAAGCACCGGCUAACUUCGUGCCAGCAGCCGCGGUAAUACGAAGGGUGCAAACGUUGCUCGGAAUUAUUGGGCGUAAAGCGCACGUAGGCGGCCUGUCAAGUCGGAUGUGAAAUCCCUCGGCUCAACCAAGGAAGUGCAUCCGAAACUGUCAGGCUUGAGUACCAAAGAGGAUCGCGGAAUUCUCGGUGUAGAGGUGAAAUUCGUAGAUAUCGGGAGGAACACCAGUGGCGAAGGCGGCGAUCUGGGUGGAUACUGACGCUGAGGUGCGAAAGCGUGGGGAGCAAAC
rnacentral:rRNA from 1 species